rnacentral:rRNA from 1 species
UAAGAAUUUAAAAGUGGAACAGAUUUAUCCAUAAGAAGGGUGUUUUUUAGGAUUUUUUUAAUUUAACAUGGGGGUGGCAAAAUACAAUAUAGRURUGAACUCCCCAUUGAAAUUACGCUGUUAUCCCUGRGGWAACUUAAUYUUAUUUUCCACUAUAURGGAUCUAAAAUAACAUACACAAAUGAACUCCAAAAYUAAAGUUAAUAAUUUAGCCRCCCCCCCMGCMAAAUAUAACAUUAAUAUAAAAAAAUAUUUUAAUAAAAUUUAAUAACAUUAAACUAWAUAAAGKUCUACMGGGUCUUAUCGYCCCAAUAAAUCAAUAAAGCAUUUUAMCUUUAAAUUUAAAUUUUAACAUUUAAAAAAAUAAAACAUAAUUCUCAUACAUCCAUUCAKACAAGCUUCCAAAUAAAAAACWAAUUAAUAWGCUACCUUUGCACAGYCAAAAUACKGSAGCCAUUUWGAAUUUAAACCCUAUGGGAGAAAAAACUUUCUAUAAAAACCA